GACGAACGCUGGCGGCGUGCCUAAUACAUGCAAGUAGAACGCUGAAGAGAGGGGCUUGCUCUUCUUGGAUGAGUUGCGAACGGGUGAGUAACGCGUAGGUAACCUGCCUUGUAGUGGGGGAUAACUAUUGGAAACGAUAGCUAAUACCGCAUAACAAUGGAUGACACAUGUCAUUUAUUUGAAAGGGGCAAUUGCUCCACUACAAGAUGGACCUGCGUUGUAUUAGCUAGUAGGUGAGGUAAUGGCUCACCUAGGCGACGAUACAUAGCCGACCUGAGAGGGUGAUCGGCCACACUGGGACUGAGACACGGCCCAGACUCCUACGGGAGGCAGCAGUAGGGAAUCUUCGGCAAUGGGGGCAACCCUGACCGAGCAACGCCGCGUGAGUGAAGAAGGUUUUCGGAUCGUAAAGCUCUGUUGUAAGUCAAGAACGGGUGUGAGAGUGGAAAGUUCACACUGUGACGGUAGCUUACCAGAAAGGGACGGCUAACUACGUG
rnacentral:rRNA from 1 species